rnacentral:rRNA from 1 species
GAUGAACGCUAGCGGCAGGCUUAAUACAUGCAAGUCGAGGGGCAGCAGGGGUGUAGCAAUACACUCGCUGGCGACCGGCAAACGGGUGCCGGAACACGUACGCAACUUACCCAAAACUGGGGGAAUAGCCCGGGGAAACCCGGAUUAAUACCUCGUAACAUAAUGGAGUGGCAUCACUUUAUUAUUAUAGCUCCGGCGGUUUUGGAUGGGCGUGCGCCUGAUUAGGUAGUUGGCGGGGUAACGGCCCACCAAGCCUACGAUCAGUAACUGGUGUGAGAGCACGACCAGUCACACGGGCACUGAGACACGGGCCCGGACUCCUACGGGAGGCAGCAGUAAGGAUAUGGUCAAUGGACNCAAGUCUGAACCAGCCAUGCCGCGUGAAGGA